rnacentral:tRNA from 1 species
GGAGAGUUGUCCGAGUUGGCCGAAGGAGCACGCCUGGAAAGUGUGUAGGCGCCACAAGCGCGUCUCGAGGGUUCGAAUCCCUCACUCUCCG